rnacentral:lncRNA from 1 species
UUUAGCCCGGAAAUCAGGCAAGAUAGCAAGGCAACUGCAGAAGAACCCGCACUACGACGAUCUCCGGCGCGACGUCAACACCGAUGAAGAAUCCAUGGAGCUACUUGCAAAAUUCUGCCAUGGCUAUGACAUCGACCUCUCACCGGAAAACGUGGUUGCCUUAGCCUGCGUAGCAAAAUCCCUCGACAUGACGGACACCCAUUGCCCCAACAAUCUGUUGAGCAAGACGGUGUCGUUUUUUGAAGAACACGUUAUGCAUAGCUGGGACAACUCCAUCAAAGCCAUCAAGUGCGCCGAGAGAGUGCUCAGGCAAGCGGAUGAGCUCGGCCUAUUGGACUGCUGCGUUGAGACGCUCAUCUUGAAAGCGCUCGAGGAUCCGCGUCUAUUGGGGGAGCCUUUGAUGAGGAACGAUGAUGAAGAUGAAGUUGAAGAUAAUUAUAUUAGGCCUAACACUAGGAGGAAACUCUUCGUGGUGGAAUGGAAAUACGAAGAUCUCACCACUCUCCCUUUGAAGCUUUAUGCGUCGAUCCUCAGAGCCAUGAUCCAGCGCCAAGUGCCGCCACAAUUUGUGGCGGCGAAUCUAUUCCGAUACGCCAAGAAUUGGAUACUGUGCAAGGAGGAGGUGAGAGGUGAGAGAGAGACGAUUGAGAUUUUGGUGAGGCUGAUUCCUCAGCAAACAGGGCUGCUUCCGUGCUCGUUUCUGUGUGAAAUGCUUCGUUUGGCCAUUGUUGUUGAAGCUGAUGCGGAGUGCAGAAACGCGUUGGAGCUGAGGAUCGGGANAAGUAUCAAUUUAGCCCCCUAAUGUAGAGGCCCCUGUAGCCAAUACAACCCUAUGCGCAGGGGUGUCUCAACUAAACCCCUAAGGUCCAUGUUUUGCGUCAAGUAGACCUCUCCGUCUAACGGAGAGUUAACACCGUUAACUAUUGUUAUUCUUUUUAUUUUUUUAUUUUGUUGGUGGUGGGACCCACACCUUCUUCACCACCAAACUCGCCGGAAACCUAAUCCUAUCCUUGUCAGCCCACUUCUCCUUCCCCGUCGAACGUCACCAGUGGCCUUUAGCACCACGACUCACGAACUAAGUCCACCCGAAACUCCGGCCUGUGCCCGAACCUCGAAUCGGAACCAUUGUAAAUCCCCAAAAGGCGAGGGCAGCAGACCAAUACAAAGUUGAGAAGUCCAACCCCCAGAUGAGGCCGGCUCUAGCCAUUUGGAUUUUGAUCGGAUGCCUUGCCCAACCCUCACAACCGCCGGUAAGAAGAAGAAAUUGUAGAAGCCCUUAUUUCAAAUGCAACCCCAAUGGACCUUUUUUCCCUUUGUGUUUAACAGCAACAGAAAACUCAAGAGUGGCUUCCUUGGCCGGCGACGUGAUUUUUCGAAACAGAAAUGGAGAUCGGUGAUAAUAAAAAGGAAUUUUUAGCCUCAACAUAGAUCGAGAGAGGGGAAUUGCUCUGAACUUUCCCCCUUUUUAGCCUGAUUUCUGGCGAUUCCCGCUCCGGUAAGGUAGAUUGGCCCGCCGAAAAUGAGUUUCAGAGAGAAAAGGGCGGUGAAGUGCCAUUGAGCAGCCGGUCGCGGCAGAGCAACAACGAGAUCGAGUCGAGAUUCGUGGGGGAUUGCUUGUUGAUCUGGCAAUGACGGCGAAUGGUCGAACGGUAGUGAUGAGGCCCGAUUUCUAUGGUUCACUGGAGAUGAUGAUAGAUCUGGUUUUCUUGACUAAUUUUAAUGGUGGGCCCCACAAAAAAAAAAAACCCAAAAAAAAUUAAAUUACAAACGGAGUUUACGCUCCGUUAGAGUGAGGGGCCAAUUUGACGAAAAUUAUAGACUAUAGGGGUUUAGUUGACACACCCCUGCCCAUAGGGUGUUAAUAGCUACAGGGGCCUCUACGUUAGAGGCCAAAUUGAUACUUAACCCUAUAAAAAAUUACUUACAUUUAACAAAAACAAUACCUUUAAGUAACGCACAAAAAUAAUUAAACAAUAGGUAUAAAAUAGAGAGCAACCCUAAUGUCAAUUCUAAAAUCUAAAUCAGUGCCCCUUCUUUUCUUAUUUCUCAUCAGCGGCACUUCUUCUUAUUCCUUCAGCAGCAAUGUUUCUUCUUCCAUCUGCUUCUUUUUUCUGUAUUUAUUGAAUCUAACCAAAACAUCAAACCUGACACUAAAUUAUAGUUAUUUAUUUUUCUACAUGCGAAUUGAUGGGUUUUAUACCCCUCAGAUCAAGAUAGAUUGGGCUGGUGAGUGUGCUUAGGCUUGUAAUUCUCUCAUUCUUGCGCUCCCCUCUUUCUUCGUCUCUGAAGUGAAAAGCUUGAGAAACAUAUUUCUUUUAUCCAGAUUCCAGGUUUUAUGCAGAGAUUUUUUUUUUCAACAGCCAAGGAAAAGUUUACGUAAAAUGACAUAAAUGAUCUGAUAUUUAUACUAAUCAAUUUCUUGGAGCCAAAGUCUGUAUCUUCAUUUGUUUCAUGGAUAAUAUGAUAUUUAAAUGGGUAUUGACCAGUAGCAGAUUACACAAUAAAUAAAGGCCAAAACUCGUAGAAAUCAGUGUCUAUUAUCCAACAGAUAAAUAACUUAUAAUGUUCACUGCAUAAAACAAUUAUAGCAAUGGGGAAACUUUUGCAGCUGAAAACUUUGCUUAUAUAUAUAUGUAUAUAGAUAUAGGUAGAUAUACUGAUAUAGAUAUAGAUAUAGAUUUCUAUCACUGAGGAUUAAAAUUCGUUACGAUAUGCUCCUUAUUGUUUCUUGUUUCUUUCUGAUUGAUUUACAGCAUUGUGAAGGUGAGUAGAGGUGCUUCUAUAUAUGAAAUGGCUGCAGCUAGAAAAGGAUUAAUAGAACUCCCAAGCAGGUAAAUUAAAUUAAACAAACUCUAAUCGUUUUCUUCAAUUCAUAUUUUUGUCCCACUUGUUUAAUUUUGUUGUUAUUGUAGGAGGCAUCGUCCCCUAUUAAAAUCUGAACUCCAUCCUGGACAAAUUUUCACACUGGAUACGGUAAACUAACAGAAGCAGACGAUCGAGAUCAUCUAUUCUGAAUUAAUUAAUUCUGAAUUACAUAAAACUGCAGGAGAUUUUAGCCCGGAAAUCAGGCAAGAUAGCAAGGCAACUGCAGAAGAACCCGCACUACGACGAUCUCUGGCGCGACGUCAACACCGAUGAAGAAUCCAUGGAGCUACUUGCAAAAUUCUGCCAUGGCUAUGACAUCGACCUCUCACCGGAAAACGUGGUUCCCUUAGCUUGCGUAGCAAAAUCCCUCGACAUGACGGACACCCAUUGCCCCAACAAUCUGUUGAGCAAGACGGUGUCGUUUUUCGAAGAACACGUUAUGCAUAGCUGGGACAACUCCAUCAAAGCCAUCAAGUGCGCCGAGAGAGUGCUCAGGCAAGCGGAUGAG